GCGCCCGUAGCUCAGCUGGAUAGAGCACCAGACUACGAAUCUGGGGGUCAGGAGUUCGAAUCUCUUCGGGCGCA
rnacentral:tRNA from 2 species